GUGAACGCUGGCGGUAGGCCUAACACAUGCAAGUCGAACGGCAGCACAGUAAGAGCUUGCUCUUACGGGUGGCGAGUGGCGGACGGGCGAGGAAUACAUCGGAAUCUACUUUUUCGUGGGGGAUAACGUAGGGAAACUUACGCUAAUACCGCAUACGACCUACGGGUGAAAGCAGGGGAUCUUCGGACCUUGCGCGAUUGAAUGAGCCGAUGUCGGAUUAGCUAGUUGGCGGGGUAAAGGCCCACCAAGGCGACGAUCCGUAGCUGGUCUGAGAGGAUGAUCAGCCACACUGGAACUGAGACACGGUCCAGACUCCUACGGGAGGCAGCAGUGGGGAAUAUUGGACAAUGGGCGCAAGCCUGAUCCAGCCAUACCGCGUGGGUGAAGAAGGCCUUCGGGUUGUAAAGCCCUUUUGUUGGGAAAGAAAAGCAGCAGGUUAAUACCCCGCUGUUCUGACGGUACCCAAAGAAUAAGCACCGGCUAACUUCGUG
rnacentral:rRNA from 1 species